rnacentral:rRNA from 1 species
GAUGAACGCUGGCGGCGUGCAUAACACAUUCAAGUCGAACGGAGUUGUUGAAAUUAAUCCUUCGGGAAGCGUAGAUACAACUUAGUGGCGGACGGGUGAGUAACGCGUGAGCAACCUGCCUCUGCAUGAGGGAUAACGUCUGGAAACGGACGCUAAUACCUCAUGACACAUGGAGAUCGCAUGUUUUCCAUGUCAAAGAUUUAUUGUGCAGAGAUGGGCUCGCGUCCCAUUAGCUAGUUGGUAGGGUAACGGCCUACCAAGGCGACGAUCAGUAGCCGGACUGAGAGGUUGGCCGGCCACAUUGGGACUGAGACACGGCCCAGACUCCUACGGGAGGCAGCAGUGGGGAAUAUUGGGCAAUGGGCGCAAGCCUGACCCAGCAACGCCGCGUGAAGGAAGAAGGCUUUCGGGUUGUAAACUCUUUUAUCAGGGACGGAUAAUGACGGUACCUGAUGAAUAAGACCACGGCUAACUACGUGCCAGCAG